GCGAUUACCCCAAAUGUGGGUAACUCGGUCGUAUAAUUUCUGGUAGUGGGGACUGCGUUCGCGCUAUCCCCGU
rnacentral:snRNA from 10 species